GUUCACAAGUCACUAAGGUGUUUACAAGUCACUAAGAUAACCUUAGUGCAGUGUUAAAGAAUGAGAGUUGAGGUUAACCUCAGUAAAGGUUGUUUCGUGAAAGGAGCUCGGAAUGUACAAGAUUUGUGG